rnacentral:rRNA from 1 species
GUACGGAGGGUGCGAGCGUUAAUCGGAAUUACUGGGCGUAAAGCGUACGUAGGCGGUUGGUUAAGUUAGAUGUGAAAGCUCCGGGCUUAACCUGGGAACUGCAUUUAAAACUGGCGAACUAGAGUUGAGUAGAGGGGAGUGGAAUUUCAGGUGUAGCGGUGAAAUGCGUAGAGAUCUGAAGGAACACCAGUGGCGAAGGCGACUCCCUGGACUCGAACUGACGCUGAGGUACGAAAGCGUGGGUAGCAAACGGGAUUAGAAACCCUUGUAGUCC